rnacentral:pre_miRNA from 1 species
AAAGAGAUUGCUGGGUCAUAUGGUUAAUAUUAACUUUAUAAGAAGCUGCCAGAGUGUUUUUCCAAAGUUGCUCUACCAUUUUGUAUUCCCACCAGUAAU